CUCCGGGUGAUCCUGCCGGACCCGACUGCUAUCAGAGUGGGACUAAGCCAUGCGGGUCAACGUAGCAAUACGUGGCAUACGGCUCAGUAACACGUAGUCAACAUGCCCAGGGGACGAGGAUAACCUCGGGAAACUGAGGAUAAACCUCGAUAGGCCAUGAUUUCUGGAAUGAUUCUUGGCUCAAACCUAUAUGGCCCCUGGAUUGGACUGCGGCCGAUCAGGCUGUUGGUGAGGUAAUGGCCCACCAAACCUAUUACCGGUACGGGCUCUGAGAGGAGGAGCCCGGAGAUGGGCACUGAGACAAGGGCCCAGGCCCUAUGGGGCGCAGCAGGCGCGAAACCUCUGCAAUAGGCGAAAGCUUGACAGGGUUACUCUGAGUGAUUUCCGCUAAGGGAAUCUUUUGGCACCUCUAAAAAUGGUGCAGAAUAAGGGGUGGGCAAGUCUGGUGCCAGCCGCCGCGGUAAUACCAGCACCCCGAGUGGUCGGGACGUUUAUUGGGCCUAAAGCAUCCGUAGCCGGUUCUACAAGUCUUCCGUUAAAUCCACCUGCUUAACAGAUGGGCUGCGGAAGAUACUAUAGAGCUAGGAGGCGGGAGAGGCAAGCGGUACUCGAUGGGUAGGGGUAAAAUCCGUUGAUCCAUUGAAGACCACCAGUGGCGAAGGCGGCUUGCCAGAACGCGCUCGACGGUGAGGGAUGAAAGCUGGGGGAGCAAACCGGAUUAGAUACCCGGGUAGUCCCAGCUGUAAACGAUGCAGACUCGGUGAUGAGUUGGCUUAUUGCUAACUCAGUGCCGCAGGGAAGCCGUUAAGUUUGCCGCCUGGGGAGUACGGUCGCAAGACUGAAACUUAAAGGAAUUGGCGGGGGAGCA
rnacentral:rRNA from 1 species